rnacentral:misc_RNA from 1 species
AAGAGUUGCAAAACUCCAACCAUUGUUAACCUUACUGUCAUUCGUUCCUCGGCGGGCGGCUUCGCCCUAACCGCGACCCCUUUGCGGGGGGAGCGACCCGCCGGGGGCACUGAACUCUUAUUAUUAUGGCUUCUGUGAGUAUACUUUUAAUAAGUUA